AGCUCUACUGCGGACGUGUCAUCUAGGACAGGAAGUCGUUUCAAUACAAUCUGACCCGCGGCACCGCUAGCCCAGAGGCUAAGCUAACAAGCUACAUGCUACAGAACAAUGAGGAUUAAAUGACGGAUUGGUCUGAACCAAUCAGCACGAAGCGCGUCAUCAGAUAAUUGAUUAAUUGAUUACAAUACUUAACAAUAUAUACAGAUAUGACUUGUGACUGCGUGAUCCCCUCUUAUGAUGGGGUGAGGAGCCCGACAGCGUGUUGUGACAUGGUGAUGACGUUGUGUUGUGAAGGGAUGAGGGUGACAGGGUGAUGAGUGUUUUGUGACUGGCCGGGUGACAGGAUGAGGAGUGUGUUGUGACGGGGAGGGUGACAGGGUGAGGAGUGUGUUGUGACGGGGUUAGGGUGACAGGGUGAUGGUGUGUUGCGACAGGGUUUGGGUGACAGGGUGAUGUGUGUUGUGACGGGGUUAGGGUGAGGGGUGUGUUGUGACGGGGUAAAUUGACAGGGUGAGGAGUGUGUUGUGACAGGGUUAGAGUGACAGGGUGACGUUGUGUUGUGACAGGGUUAGGGUGACAGAGUGAGGGGUGUGUUGUGACGGGGUUAGGGUGACAGGGUGACAGUGUGUUGUGACAGGGUUAGGGGUGUGUUGUGACAGGGUUAGGGUGACAGGGUGAGGGUGUGUUGUGACAGGGUUAGGGUGACAGAGUGAGGGGUGUGUUGUGACGGGGUUAGGGUGACAGGGUGACAGUGUGUUGUGACGGGGUGAUGAGUGUGUUGUGACAGGGUUAGGGUGACAGGGUGAUGGGUGUGUUGUGACGGGGUUAGGGUGACAGGGUGAGGGUGUGUUGUGACGGGGUGAGGGUGACAGGGUGAUGGUGUGUUGUGACAGGGUGAUGGUGUGUUGUGACGGGGUGAGGG